GAAAAACCUCACAGCAGAUUAAGACUUUCCCGAAAUUUCCCUGUAAAACCAGCAGUGAUAUGUCCAAUUCAGUAGAUACUGCCUGGCACAAAAGAGGAUUUGACAGUUUAACAUUGUACUGCAUCAAUAAACUAAAUAUGGAGAGUAGCUUAGUCACCAAAGCAGUCAACACCAAAAUACACACAAUGGCCAGGGCACUGAAACUUGGAAGAGUGCAAGAGUAAAGUAGUGCGUUUUUAGCUUACAAAGUGACAUUGCGAGCUUUUGUCUAUCAUUCCUCCGUAAACUUGAUCUUUAAACAACAUCUCAUAAAUUGCCAAGCCAAUUUCAUGCAAACUUACAAUAUUGUCUAGUCAGUUUUUGUUUUGCUUGCAAUUGUUAUAUGACAUGACUAAAGACAUUUAGUUUUAUUCUUUAGUUAUUAUGUUUAUGUUUGUAUAAGACCCAAAUAUAUUGUUAAGAUUCAUUUUUACACAUUUGAAAGCCAUUAUUGUUCUAGUCAGUUUUUGUUUUGCUUGCAAUCGUUAUAUGACAUGACUAAAGACAUUUAGUUUUAAUCUUUAAUAAUUAUGUCUAUAUUUGUAUAAGACCCAAAAAUAUUGUUAAGAUUCAUUUUUGUGUCGCCUCUACAGAGUAGUGGCGACAUAUAGGGAUCACUUCUCCGUCGUCUGUCUGUCCGUCUGUCUGUCUGUCUGUCUGUCCGUCCGUCCGUCACAAAACUUGUCCGGACUACUCCUCAUAAACUACUGGUGCAAUUUCAUCCAAACUUUACAGGAAUAAUCAGUACCAAGUCUAGUUGUGCAUAUUGUCAGCAUUUUCCGGUUCAAUGAUUUUUGUCAGAGUUAUGGCCCUUUAAUAAUUUUUAAUUUUAAAGUUUGUCCGGACUACUUCUCUUAUACCACUAAUGCAAUUUCAAUGAAACUUUACAGGAUUGAUCUGUAGCUCAAGUCCUUGCGCAUAUUGCACGGGUUUUCCGGUUGAAUGAUUUUUGGCCUAGUUAUGGCCCUUUGAUAAAAAGGUUUCUUUUUCUGUGUGUUGCCAGAUACACAAAAGCUUGUCCGGACUACUCCUCAUAAACUACUGGUGCAAUUUCAUCCAAACUUUACAGGAAUGAUCAGUACCAAGUCUAGUUGUGCAUAUUGUCAGCAUUUUCCGGUUCAAUGAUUUUUGUCAGAGUUAUGGCCCUUUAAUAAUUUUUAUUUUUAAAGUUUUGUCCGGACUACUUCUCUUAUACCACUCAUGCAAUUUCAAUGAAACUUUACAGGAUUGAUCUGUAGCUCAAGUCCUUGCGCAUAUUGCACGAGUUUUCCGGUUGAAUGAUUUUUGGCCGAGUUAUGGCCCUUUGAUAAAAAGGUGUUUUUUUCUGUGUGUUGCCAGAUACGCAAAAGCUUGUCCGGUCUACUCCUCAUAAACUACUGGUGCAAUUUUAUCCAAACUUUACAGGAAUGAUCAGUACCAAGUCUAGUUGUGCACUGUCCGUAUGUCUGUCUGUCUGUCACAAAAUUUGUCCCAACAUGAAAUUGGCCAUCAUGAGGCGACACAUGUGAUUACUGAUCGCUCUUGUUACAAUUUUAAAAGCCAUUAUUGCUCUAGUCUGUUUUUGUUUUGCUUGCAAUCGUUAUAUGACAUGACUAAAGACAUUUAGUUUAAAUCUUUAGUUAUUAUGUCUAUGAGGGGCGUCCGUGGCCGAGUGAUUAAGGUCAUUGACUUCAAACCACUUGCCCCUCACCGCUGUGGGUUGGAAUCCCGACAGGGACUUUGGAUUCUUUCAUGUGAGGAAGCUAUCCAGCUAGCUUAACUGAACGUCGGUGGUUCUACUCAGAUACCCGUUCGUGCCUGAAAUAAUGCAAGGAAGGGCACCUGAACGUCACGAUAUGACCUAUACUGUGUCGAUGUGACGUAAAAACCCAAAACAAACAAACAAAAAAAUUAUGUCUAUGAAAUUAGUUGUUUGUAUAAGACCCAAAUAUAUUGUUGUGAUUAAUUUUAACAAUUUUGAAAGCCAUAAUUGUUUGUGUCAGAUAUUGUUUUGCUCACAAUCAUAAUGUUAUAUGGCAUGAGUUUAAAUCUGAAGGUAUUAUGUCCAUGAAAUAUGUUGUUUGUAUAAGACCAAAAUAUAUUUUUGAGAUUCAUUUUUACAAUUUUGAAAGCCAUUAUUGGUCUAGUUUGUUUUUGCAUAACACAUAACGCUAUUGUUAGUAUUUAUUGUUAUUAAUAGUGAUUUGUCUAAGUGGAUGUCGAAGUAUGUAUGUUAUUCCAUGCCAGUUCAUGUUUGAAUGAAACUUUUUGUCCAGAUAGAAGAUUUCAAACUGUAACUUUUCUGAUUUUUAGCUUUUACAACAAUAUUAUAUUUCCCAUUUUUGGUGCUAAGAAAUACUGCAACAUGUGCUGAAUAAUAGCUAUUGUCAAACAUUGUUUUUAUGCUCCCGAAAAAUUUCGGGGGAGCAUAUAGUCAUAGGGUUGUCUGUCCGUCUGUCUGUACGUACAUACGAACCCGAAUUCGUGUCCAGCCCAUAACUUUGUUAUUUCAAGUUGGAUUUUAAAACUAUUUCACAGAAAUGAUCACCAUAUUGAGACGACGUGUCGCCCGCAACAUUUGGAUCGCUACCUUGAAGUUCAAGGUCACACCAUGACCUUGAACAAAAAUUGUGUCCGGCCAAUAUCUUGGUUAUUUGAUGUCGGAUUUUACAACUAUUUCACAGAAAUGAUCAGCAUAUUGAGACGAUGUGUUGCACACACCAUUUGGGUCAAUACCUUGAAGGUCAAGGUCGCAACAUGAAAUUGAAGCAAAAUGGUGUCCAGCCCAUAAAUUCGUUAUUUGAAGUCGGAUUUUACAACUAUUUCACCGAAAUGAUCACCAUAUUGAGAUGAUAUGUCACACGCAACAUUUGGGUCAUUACCUUGAAGGUCAAGGUCACAGCAUGACCUUGAAGCAAAAAUGUGUCUGGCCCAUAGCGUCGUUAUUUGAAGUGUGAUUUUACAACUAUUUUGGAAUUAUCAGACUUUGAACUUUGUCUGGGACAUAACCCUGAAACUUCAAAAGAUAUACUUUUCUGUGUCCAAAUCCUAGUCGGGGGAGGAUCACCCUGGUUCAAUAGGCUCUUGUUUUAAUUGAUUAUUAAGUAAUAUGAACAAUUCAUGAUAGCAUCAUAACUAAAGAGUGGAAAUUUAUGAAAGUCAAAUAUGUAUAGAAUCAGUUGCUAAUAAAAUGUGUGUAAAAUUUAUCUCUUUUUUUAACUGGGGAAUUAAUUUCUUUAUUUUACAAAUUUAUCAAAUUUCAUUUUAUUCUACUGAUAUGUUUGUAAUAUUUCUUUUAUUUUCUAUUGAAAAAAUGUGUUAAACCAA